rnacentral:misc_RNA from 1 species
UCCGGUUUGGCACCGGCAGUCUCCCUAGAGUUCCCGGCAUCAUCCGCUGGCAACUAAGGACAGGGGUUGCGCUCGUUGCGCCACUUAAGGCAACACCUCACGACACGAGCUGACGACAGCCAUGCACCACCUGUGUACGACCCCGAAGGACACCGUAUCUCUACGGCUUUUCCGUACACGUCAAGCCCAGGUAAGGUUCUUCGGGUCGCAUCGAAUUAAGCCGCAUGCUCCGCCGCUUGUGCGGGGACCCGUCAAUUCCUUUGAGUUUUAGCCUUGCGGCCGUACUCCCCAGGCGGGGCACUUAAUGCGUUAGCUUCGGCACGGACGGGGUCGAUAUCCGCCCACACCUAGCACCCAACGUUUACGGCUAGGACUAC